GUGGUAGCUCAGUGGUAGAGCAUCUGCUUUAAAGACAAAAGGCCCCGGGUUCGGUUCCUGGCAGCAUCU